AAUGAACGCUGGCGGCGCGCCUAAUACAUGCAAGUCGAGCGAGAAGACGUAGCAAUACGUUUGUAAAGCGGCUAACGGGUGAGGAAUACAUGGGUAACCUACCCUAGAGUGGGGAAUAACUAGCCGAAAGGUUAGCUAAUACCGCGUACGCUCCUUGGACUUCGGUUCAGGGAGGAAAGCGAUGCCGAGGGUAUCGCGCUCUUGGAUGGGCUCAUGUCCUAUCAGCUUGUUGGGAGGUAACGGCUCACCAAGGCUUCGACGGGUAGCUGGUCUGAGAGGACGAUCAGCCACACUGGCACUGCGACACGGGCCAGACUCCUACGGGAGGCAGCAGUAAGGAAUAUUGCGCAAUGGGCGAAAGCCUGACGCAGCGACGCCGCGUGGGGGA
rnacentral:rRNA from 1 species